UUCAUUCGGCUGUCCAGAUGUACCCAAGUACCCUGUUAUUUGGCAAUACAUACAUCUGGGCAACUGAUUGAACU
rnacentral:pre_miRNA from 1 species